GAACGAUAAACUUCGUCGACGAAGGGACGACGUCGUUCUUCUGACAGCAGUCAGCGCUUCGCGACUCCCGCUACUUUUGGCACCGUUCUUUUCUUAUGUUUUUUUUUAUUCGAGGGAAAUCGGAAUUUGUUGAAAGUUUUUGGCGCUUUGUUUACACUAAGUCUGAGUUUUCUUUUGUGAAUGAAGAGCAGCUCGUGUGAAGUGGUGGAAGAUGUGUGUGAUUCGAACGCUGCUGCGCCUUGUGGUGGAAUGUUCUGUUUUAUUUAUCGAACGUAUCACAAAUCCUUUAAGUUUGGGACAGUUUAAAUCAGUCCAUCGGAAAAUUUGCGCCUCGGUCGAGAAUUUCAAAGAAUGAUACAUAAGCUGAGCUGAGCGAUUGUUGGAGUCCGUCUUUCCGCUGGCUUAACACAUCACAACAUCAUCGAACGAAGCGUAAAUUGGAUGCGUUUCAGCAGCGCGUAUAGCAUCGAGUCCGACAAUAACACUUAAUUCAAAAUCCCGCCAGAGUAUGACUUUUUAAUGCGAUUCUUUAUUGGCGACCGAAUGGAUGUGGAAGACGAAUUUACACAACGCGUUCGGGAAGAAAGUUGACAUCCCGUCGGCUGGUGUCGAAACGAGACAAUAAUCGUUGGGAACCACGGGAGCUGCUGCUGCUGCUGCAAAAGUGCUGUUUUGUUACAUAUGAUGUGCACACCUAAACUCUAAGAGCUUGCCGAUAUUAUUAGCGAUGCGAGAUUUUCGACACGAGGAACACCUAUUAAAAGUGAUUGAUAAUUGUUUUGACACGAGACAGUGAACAAAUUCCUAUCUUUAUGUUCGAUAGACGCAUACAAAAACUGUUGUUCUGCUGCUGGCUGGCGGAGGUUCGAGACUUUCCGCGAUUUUAUGUGGGUCUGAUGGUUUUCUGACGUCGUGCAUUGCUCGGCUGUUGCAUGAUCCCGAUACCAGGGAAGGAAUUGAUGAAAUACCGUCUGAAACUGGUCCCCGAGCUGCUCAUUUGCAGUUAAUUGUGCAUUUUUCAUGCUUCAUUCCUGAAAUAAUCAAUUUUAUUGUCGUUUUCUGUCGAUGAAACAAGCAAUGAGUGUAAAUAAAACCAAUUCUCCUUUUGGGACAAA